rnacentral:rRNA from 1 species
AUUGAACGCUGGCGGCAUGCCUUACACAUGCAAGUCGAACGGCAGCACGGGUGCUUGCACCUGGUGGCGAGUGGCGAACGGGUGAGUAAUACAUCGGAACAUGUCCUGUAGUGGGGGAUAGCCCGGCGAAAGCCGGAUUAAUACCGCAUACGAUCUACGGAUGAAAGCGGGGGACCUUCGGGCCUCGCGCUAUAGGGUUGGCCGAUGGCUGAUUAGCUAGUUGGUGGGGUAAAGGCCUACCAAGGCGACGAUCAGUAGCUGGUCUGAGAGGACGACCAGCCACACUGGGACUGAGACACGGCCCAGACUCCUACGGGAGGCAGCAGUGGGGAAUUUUGGACAAUGGGCGAAAGCCUGAUCCAGCAAUGCCGCGUGUGCGAAGAAGGCCUUCGGGUUGUAAAGCACUUUUGUCCGGAAAGAAAUGCUUGGCCCUAAUACGGUCGGGGGAUGACGGAACCGGAAGAAUAAGCACCGGCUAACUACGUG